GACGAACGCUGGCGGCGUGCUUAACACAUGCAAGUCGAACGGAAAGGCCCUGCUUUUGUGGGGUGCUCGAGUGGCGAACGGGUGAGUAACACGUGAGUAACCUGCCCUUGACUUUGGGAUAACUUCAGGAAACUGGGGCUAAUACCGGAUAGGAGCUCCUGCUGCAUGGUGGGGGUUGGAAAGUUUCGGCGGUUGGGGAUGGACUCGCGGCUUAUCAGCUUGUUGGUGGGGUAGUGGCUUACCAAGGCUUUGACGGGUAGCCGGCCUGAGAGGGUGACCGGCCACAUUGGGACAGAGAUACGGCCCAGACGCAUACGGGAGGCAGGAGUGAGGAAUAUUGCACGAUGGGCGGAAGCCUGAUGCAGCAACGCCGCGUGCGGGAUGACGGCCUUCGGGUUGUAAACCGCUUUCGCCUGUGACGAAGCGUGAGUGACGGUAAUGGGUAAAGAAGCACCGGCUAACUACGU
rnacentral:rRNA from 1 species